ensembl:misc_RNA Gm56037 predicted gene, 27492
GGAUGUGCUGGUCUCGUGGCUUGUCCGAUUUGCACGGUAACUUGAUUACACGCUCGAAUUCAUGGUCACUUCCGAAGCGCUUUAGUGCCUUCCGUCCCUAAACCGCCAACAGCCAAGGCGGCUUCCCUCGGUGGUUUGUCAAUAAUCCGGGCGGUUCGGAAGGGCCUUCGCUUUACCCGGGUUCCAC